UCGCAUCUGUGCAUGCAGCAUAUCAAUAAGCGGAGGAAAAGAAACUAACAAGGAUUCCCCUAGUAACGGCGAGUGAAGCGGGAAGAGCUCAAAUUUGAAAUCUUAAAGGGUUUCCCUUUACGAAUUGUAGUUUAAAGAAGUGUUUUCUGUUGAGGUUUUGGUAAAAGUUCUUUGGAAUAGGACAUCAUAGAGGGUGAGAAUCCCGUAUUUGACCUUUACUUUCAACUUUGUGAUACACUUUCAAAGAGUCGGAUUGUUUGGGAAUGCAGUCCAAAAUGGGUGGUAAAUUUCAUCUAAAGCUAAAUAUUGGCGAGAGACCGAUAGCGAACAAGUACCGUGAGGGAAAGAUGAAAAGAACUUUGAAAAGAGAGUUAAACAGUACGUGAAAUUGUCAAAAGGGAAGCGUUUGACACCAGUGUUGUUUUUCUGAAAAUCAAUUAAAGAACUGUUUAUGCUAAGCUUGUUUAGACUUUAUCAGCUAACUGUUUAGUUUUGAGCUUUUCUUUAAUGCACUUUUCAGUUAACAAGUCAACAUCAAUUUCUUUUGCUGUAAAAAAGCUUGAGGAAGGUGGCUUGAGAUUCGUCUUAAGUGUUUAUAGCCUCUUGCCUAUGCAGUCGGAGAGAUUGAGGUCUGCAGCGUAGAUCCUUCGGGGCUAAAUGCAUUUGUGCUAAGUUAUAGCAUUUUAUAGACAACUUGUUGACUAUGAUUUGUCUUGUAGCUUACUCGCUUAUGUUAUUUUACCUACGCUUAGGAUGUUGAACGCGCACAGAGUCUC
rnacentral:rRNA from 1 species